ensembl:lncRNA putative novel transcript.
UCUCUUCUUAAUCUGCAGGACCAGACAUGAGCAGAUAUUACUGGAUCUUGGACAAGUGGGUCUCUAAGGAACAUCAAAGACCCUGAGAAGCCAAAAGUUAUGAAAUGCAUCAGCAGUGGGUUGAAGACAAGACCUCUCCUUUUCCUGCUGACAUUUCUUCCAUGAGCAGUACCCAGACAGCCGACAGAAAGAGCCCAGGAGCUGGGGAAGUUGGGCAGAGUGCCCCCGAAGGAGGAGAUUCCACACAGGCCCUGUGUAUCUGAGAGUUGAGUUGCUGAUUUCAGAGGUGUUUGUAUCAUUGCUCUAAAUGUGUUUCUGCUCCCCUCCCACCCAAGAUGCUGGUUCAACGGACCAUUUCAUCCUACCAUUAUACAGAACCCACAGGAGCUAGUUACCUGGUCAGUUUGAGAAGUUAAUAUUUAAAAAGACUAAUGGUUGCAUAUGGCUUCCACAGGAAAGAAAUAAUAAGCUAAUGUUAUCUAUUGACUCAAUCCCACAUAUAUUUACAUUUGACAACUUAAAAAAAAAACCUUCGGCUCAAUGAUAGUUUAGCUCAAGUCACUAUGUUAGGAUAUAUAUUUCUUUCAUCUAUGACUAUUUUUGUCUGCACAGUAACCUGCCUCAAGCACACAAAUAUUUGUGUGUCUGGCCUCAAGCAAUUAACGUGUCUCCUAACAUGAGAUAAAGAUUAAAUGAAAAUUCUGUCACCCUGAAAUAAACCUGGAAGCAGAAUUCCUGAAUGUUUGCCAAAUAAGGUGACUAUCAGACUUAAGAUGCUGAACUUUGAAAUGACUGUCAUAGAAACAAAGGCAAGGCAUGGUUGGCGCCCAUUCAACCUGGUCAAUAACAUCCUUAAUUACAGGACAUGGCAUCAUUUUGAUUCACAGUGGAAUAAAAGGCAUCUAUUUG